AGUGCCUGGCAGCACUGUGUUCCUGUUAGAGCCACCAGCACAAGCACCAGACGAUGCUGAUCCAGGUGAAGGCCCCAGUGCAGCAGCAACAGCACAUGAUGAGGAGGAGACCAUCUCUCUGGAUUCCAGAAGGCAUGAGGACCCAGAUGCUAUACAGUGGGAAAACCAGCCUGGCAACAUAGUGCGUAUUAAUAAAAGGACACCACAUCCUGCCAAAUUCCAGCUGCGCUAAUUGUAUUGUGUUCACAGAGCUCACAAGCUAUCAGAAAGUUGUAUGGCAACCACCUCCGGCGCCAAAUAGAACUGGCAAACAUAGACAUUCAGUACAAGAAGAAAAAGAUGGAAAAUCUUGCACUGGAGUCCGAAAUAAAAAAGAGGACAAUUAGGAAACUGGACCUUGAAAUAAAAAAACUUGAGAGGGAGGUGAGAUAUGCCUUCAAUGUACACUGUAUGCUAACUGUAACACAAAUGUAUUAAUCAUUAUUUUUCUUUCCUCCCCCAGCUCCAAGAAGAUGACACAGCUCAAAAUAAAAAUUAGGUAUAUUCUCGUAAAGUCAAGUGAGCCAUGACAUAUGAGCUCUUAUUGUGAGCACACAGGACGGUGGCAUCUUUCUAAGUUUUUUUUUAUUUUCCCAGCAAUCAGUACAACCAAGUCAUCGUUAUAAGGCAUCGCCCUCUUUUGCCCACCCCCCCAGCACCAGGUGUGGCCACUAGCCUAUAUGAAGGCCCAAAAUGGUGUGUUCCUUUCUGCUCUGACAAUGGCAUGCCCAUUCGUGCGAGAUGUGGUGGAUGAAGAAGCACUUGUGCUGAGGAGAGCCUUCAGGCGAGAAAGGGUCUUCAGGGACCGGUUGGACCCACUGGCCUUCCCUGAUGACCAUCUAUAUGAAAGAUACAGGUUUUCUGCAGAUGGCAUCAGGUAUCUAUGCAGACUACUGGGUCCCAGGAUUAAGCACCGCACUGCACGGAGCCAUGCACUGAGUGUGGAGCAAAUGGUUUGUGUGGCCUUGCGCUUUUUUGCUAGUGGAGCCUUCCUGUACUCAGUGGGGGAUGCUGAACAAGGCCACAAUUUGCCGCACAAUAAGGAGUGUGUGUCUGGCUAUCAAAGCAUUAGCAGAUGUCUUCAUCUCCUUCCCUGGCCACAGAAGACUCUGUGACAUCAAAGAGGAGUUCUAUAGGAUUGCAGAUGGUCUGCAAUGCUGACUGUGUGAUCAGCAAUGUUGUGGCAAAAUGGCCUGGCUCAGUCCAUGACUCCAGAAUCUUUCGGGCCUCUGAAAUCUAUCAGUGCCUAUCACAAGGUGAAUUCUCUGGUGUGUUGCUGGGAGACAGGGGUAUGGCUGCCAGCCUUUUCUCCUGACACCUUUCACAGACCCCCAGGAAGCACAGCAGGCCUACAACCAUGCCCAUGCCAGGACCAGGGCCAGAGUUGAAAUGACCUUUGGCCUCCUGAAGGCACGCUUUCACUGCCUUCACAAAUUAAGGGUCAGCCCUGUUAGGGCAUGUGAUAUUACUGUGGCUUGUGCUGUCCUCCACAAUGUGGCCUGCCUGAGGAAGGAGAGGGCCCCCAGAGUGCCACCAGCCAUGGACUGGGACAAUCCGGCAAUCUUCCCUGAUGACGACAGUGGUCGGCUGCUGAGGGACCAAUAUGUGUUGAAUUAUUUUAGUUAGUAUGUGUGCUUUCAAUUUUGGUUAAAUAUGUCCUGCGGUGGCAGAGGAAUUUGGGUUUU